AGCGAACGCUGGCGGCGUGCCUAACACAUGCAAGUCGAGCGCGGGCAUUUCGGGGGUAACCCCGGGAUGUGCUGAGCGGCGGACGAGUCGAGUAAUACGUGGACAACCUGCCUUAAAGCUUGGGAUAACUCCGGGAAACUGGAGCUAAUACCGGAUAAGACCACGGUGUCUAUGGAUGCUGAGGUAAAAGGCGGCCAGGAAACUGGCUGUUGCUUAAAGAUGGGUCCACGUCCCANCAGGUAGUUGGUGAGGUAAAGGCUCACCAAGCCAAAGACGGUAGCUGGCCUUAGCGGGUGGUCAGCCACAC
rnacentral:rRNA from 1 species